UACGUAGGGGGCUAGCGUUGCUCGGAAUCACUGGGCGUAAAGCGCACGUAGGCGGACUCUUAAGUCAGGGGUGAAAUCCUGGAGCUCAACUCCAGAACUGCCUUUGAUACUGGGAGUCUUGAGUUCGGGAGAGGUGAGUGGAACUGCGAGUGUAGAGGUGAAAUUCGUAGAUAUUCGCAAGAACACCAGUGGCGAAGGCGGCUCACUGGCCCGGUACUGACGCUGAGGUGCGAAAGCGUGGGGAGCAAACAGG
rnacentral:rRNA from 1 species